rnacentral:rRNA from 1 species
AUGAACGCUGGCGGCGUGCUUAACACCUGCCAGUCGAACGGGAAACCUUUUAUUGAAGCUUCGGCAGAUUUAGCUGGUUUCUAGUGGCGGACGGGUGAGUAACGCGUGGGUAACCUGCCUUAUACAGGGGGAUAACAACCAGAAAUGGUUGCUAAUACCGCAUACGCGCACAGGACCGCAUGGUCCGGUGUGAAAAACUCCGGUGGUAUAAGAUGGACCCGCGUUGGAUUAGCUAGUUGGCAGGGUAACGGCCUACCAAGGCGACGAUCCAUAGCCGGCCUGAGAGGGUGAACGGCCACAUUGGGACUGAGACACGGCCCAGACUCCUACGGGAGGCAGCAGUGGGGAAUAUUGCACAAUGGGGGAAACCCUGAUGCAGCGACGCCGCGUGAAGGAAGAAGUAUCUCGGUAUGAAAACUUCUAUCAGCAGGGAAGAUAGUGACGGUACCUGACUAAGAAGCCCCGGCUAACUACGUG